rnacentral:rRNA from 1 species
GUGAGGAAUAUUGCGCAAUGGAGGCAACUCUGACGCAGCCAUGCCGCGUGCAGGAAGAAGGCGCUACGCGUUGUAAACUGCUUUUAACCGGGAAGAAACCCCAGGACGUGUCCUGGGUUGACGGUACCGGAGGAAUAAGCACCGGCUAACUUCGUGCCAGCAGCCGCGGUAAUACGAAGGGUGCAAGCGUUAUCCGGAUUCAUUGGGUUUAAAGGGUGCGUAGGCGGAGCGUUAAGUCAGUGGUGAAAUCCUGCAGCUUAACUGUAGACUUGCCAUUGAUACUGGCGCUCUUGAGUGCGCUUGAAGUAGGCGGAAUGUGCCGUGUAGCGGUGAAAUGCUUAGAUAUGGCACAGAACACCAAUUGCGAAGGCAGCUCACUAAGGCGAUACUGACGCUGAGGCACGAAAGCGUGGGGAUCGAACAGGAUUAGAAACCCUGGUAGUCC